rnacentral:rRNA from 1 species
AGUGAACGCUGGCGGUAGGCCUAACACAUGCAAGUCGAACGGCAGCACAGUAAGAGCUUGCUCUUACGGGUGGCGAGUGGCGGACGGGUGAGGAAUGCAUCGGAAUCUACUUUUUCGUGGGGGAUAACGUAGGGAAACUUACGCUAAUACCGCAUACGACCUACGGGUGAAAGCAGGGGAUCUUCGGACCUUGCGCGAUUGAAUGAGCCGAUGUCGGAUUAGCUAGUUGGCGGGGUAAAGGCCCACCAAGGCGACGAUCCGUAGCUGGUCUGAGAGGAUGAUCAGCCACACUGGAACUGAGACACGGUCCAGACUCCUACGGGAGGCAGCAGUGGGGAAUAUUGGACAAUGGGCGCAAGCCUGAUCCAGCCAUACCGCGUGGGUGAGGAAGGCCUUCGGGUUGUAAAGCCCUUUUGUUGGGAAAGAAAAGCAGCAGGUUAAUACCCCGCUGUUCUGACGGUACCCAAAGAAUAAGCACCGGCUAACUUCGUG